UUUUUUUUUUUUUUCAUGAAGGUUGCAUCCUUGGAAGGAGUGUUCUGUAGCUGAGGAUCCUAUCACAAGUUAGAAUGUACUACAAAAUUUUAGGCGUGAGUUUAAGGGGAAUAACCAUGCAGUGGUGUCAGAACUAGUGUUCCUGAGCUGGAUAGUGGACCAACCCCACAUAACUGGCUGAUAGAUAUAGAAAGGUAUAUCUGUAUUUUUUGCAACUGGAUUAGCUGUUAAACUUUGCUAUUAUAUGUGAACAGAUCAGAACGAUUACUUACUGUCUUCUGACAAAGCUCAAAUCCAAUUCUGUCAUAAUUGGCUCUAGUUGUCAGGCUGAACAUGCAAUAAGCAGUGUCCUCUAAUACAGCACUGCAAGUAUCUUUUUCAGCAUCAGAAUUUGAUUUAAGUCGUAGUUUACAAGGAGCCCCAAGACUGUCUUCCUGUCACUUCUGGAGCUUUCUUUUAUCAGGUUGCAUUCCUAGAGAUCACAAUCUGAUAUCAAGCAUUUUCCCAUCUAUAUUGAACAUCGGUCUGGAUAUUUUUUACUUCAGCAGAGAAAAUGAAUGUCUGCUGUGAAUAAAUCCAGAGAUUUGCUAUUUUUUGCUGCUGCUACUUUUUUCUCCUGUUGGCAUUACAGGCAGCCAACUAUAGUGUCAAUAUUACUUCUAUUGUCUACUGACUGUUGCUGAAAAGAAAUUUGCCCUCUCCUUCAUGAUCACAUUGACAGUGGGAAGGGUGUCAUCUUUUGUUUUGUCUGAGCUGCUGACUUUUCUAGCUGAAAGACCAGUGGCAUCCUGUGGUGACAUUAGAUGCUACUUGAUACCAAAUGCUGCUGUGCAAUGCUCUAAUUUACAUUCAUGGGAAAUUGUUGAAGGCAUGUAAUUCCAUGGCAUUUCCAUGGUCAUUGUAUUCUAGUAUGGCAAUCAUUUAAGUCUCAGUUUCAGUCCUUCUGAGAGGCAUGGUGUGGCAUUUAACUGCAUGAAAUACCCUUACCAGGCAGUUUUGAUUGCACUGUAUUGGUAACAUAAUUAUUUAAACCUCUGCCAAUUUUUCUAGCAAUUAUUUUCUAUGCUAAUUAGAUUAUUGGUUGAAAUAAUAAAAAUAAUUAAUCCAAGAAGAGAUCUGUGAGAUGCUCAAGAAUCCUUUCAGUGACAGAAGAAACAAAUUUACCUGGUUUUCUAAAGCUCUUAAAUCAGUUUUAAAUAUUCUAGAUACAUUCCCAUAUGUAUUUAAAGUAGGGGAUUAGGUCAGUUACAUUACAGAAAAGUAAUUUUAAUAAGCCAUAGACAGCAAAUACUAUUCAGUGGAAGACAAACCUUGGGGCUAAGCAGGUAUUUAUAAUAGAACAAAGAAGCCUUUGAGAUUAAGGAAACUGGUCCUGCUCAUUAAGCAGGGACUGAGACAGAGCCUUUGAAUUUUAACUUACCUUCACAGGAAGUGACAAAAUUACCUUUCUGAUGAAAGUGACUGUGUUAUUGAAAAGAGUUUCAAGAUUGUUGCCUAGAUUGAAGAUAAGUUAAAUUGUUUUCCUUUGUUAAUUCUACUUGCGCAAGAUUACCGUGUUACUUUGAGCAGAGAGGGACAACUUUUCCCUUUGCCUGGCUGGCAAUGCUGGACCUGAUGCACUUCAUGGUAUGUUGGUUCUUUUGUGUGCCUGCUGUUCCCCUUAAUUUAGUGUUGUCUGCAAACUUCCAUAAGUAUGCGUUUUAAUCCUGAGUACAGAUUAUUUGUAGAAACAUUAAGGAGAACUGACCAUAAAAUGUGACCUUGCAGCACUUCACUACCAUCAGCUAAUCUAAUACCACUUACUGUAAAUCCUUGAGCCUGACCCAUCAACCAUUGCUCACCCAUAGCAUUGUUUUUUUUCUACAGUAUCCUGGUCUUUUAAUCCAAAAGGAUGCUAUCAGAAACGGCACUGAAAGCACUGCUGAAAUACAAAGGUUACAUCUAUUGAAUUCUAUUGGUGGCCUUAGUAGCCUCACCUGCUCCUUUCUAUUCAACAAACAGGCAUAUAGCAGCAUUCCUAAUGAACACAGCAGCUGUAGUCCUGCUGUCAGGACUUGAUUUUUCCAGUGCAGGGAAACAAGAGCAUGGAGACAGAAGAAAACUAAUCAAACCAAUAUUUGUACGUACUGUCUGCUUUUUUUUCACCUUGUUUUGAUUGUAAAAUUCAGCUCAAAUAACUAUAAAAUUGUCUCAAUGUUACUCAGAUUCUGUGCAUGACUGUGUCUAUUGCCACUCAUGAUAUUUACUCUUUAAAAAACAGAAAUACAUAACAGUUAAACAAAAAUACAGAAUGCAUAAAUAUACUUGAAUUCCUUCCCUUUAAUGCUGCUGGACAAUUCAAGUUUUUGGCUUAUGUUUAAGCAUACAAGUAGCUUUUUCUGUCUAUGGAAUAAGUUUUUGUCACCUAGCCUCACUUUGAAAAAGUUCUUUGCAUUUCCUAUGGAAGAAUAAAAGUAAUUUCCAUAUAUCCAGCUCUACUUGAACUCCAAAAAGAGUUAGCACACAAUGUGUGAUCUCUUUGAAAUCUGCUAAAAAAUCUGCGACUAGCUUUACUGUUAAAAAAAAAAAAAAAAAAAAAAAAAAAAAAAAAAAAGACAAACAAAACUAGGGAAUCAAAAGCAAAAGAAUAUUAAUCAGUAAAAAUAAAACUAAGUUCAAAAUUUGAAUUAGUUUCAUUGGCUUUUUUCUAAUCUAAAUGUAGAGAGAUGUGAAUGCUUUUUCCCCCAGUUACGUAUUUUGGUGUGUAGAUUGAACAGUUAAAACAAACAAGAAACUUAAUUUUUUUCUUUUCUAAAAUUUUCUCUCUAUGUAAUUAUUUUAUUGCUGAUAAACUUUACAAUUCAUAAAUAAGCACAUUACUUUUUCAAAGUGUUUUCCUAGAACAGUUUAGAUAGCUAUGUAAAGCAAUUGUGUGGUAAGAAAUUUAAAGGCAACAUUUUUUAUGAAAAGAUGGGAUUUCUGUAUUCUUAAUCAGUAAUGAUCAACUGUUCUUGAUUUGAGCACUGAUAAUUCAAUAAAACAACUUUUUAUUGUUAUUUA